rnacentral:rRNA from 1 species
AGUGAACGCUGGCGGCAGGCCUAACACAUGCAAGUCGAACGGCAGCACAGUAAGAGCUUGCUCUUACGGGUGGCGAGUGGCGGACGGGUGAGGAAUACAUCGGAAUCUACUUUUUCGUGGGGGAUAACGUAGGUAAACUUACUCUAAUACCGCAUACGACCUACGGGUGAAAGCAGGGGAUCUUCUGACCUUGCGCGAUUGAAUGAGCCGAUGUCGGAUUAGCUAGUUGGCGGGGUAAAGGCCCACCAAGGCGACGAUCCGUAGCUGGUCUGAGAGGAUGAUCGGCCACACUGGAACUGAGACACGGUCCAGACUUCUACGGGAGGCAGCAGUGGGGAAUAUUGGGCAAUGGGGGCAAGCCUGAUCCAGCCGGACCGAGUGGGUGAAGAAGGCCUUCGGGUUGUAAAGCCCUUUUGUUGGGAAAGAAAAGCAGCAGGUUAAUACGACGCUGUUCUGACGGUACCCAAAGAAUAAGCACCGGCUAACUUCGUG